GACGAACGCUGGCGGCGUGCUUAAUACAUGCAAGUCGAACGGAAAGGCCAUGCUUUUGUGGGGUGCUCGAGUGGCGAACGGGGGAGUAAAACGUGAGUAACCUGCCCUUGUCUUUGGGAUAACUUCAGGAAACUGGGGCUAUUAUCGGGUAGGAGCUCCUGCUGCACGGUGGGGGUUGGAAAGAUUCGGCGGUUGUGGCUGGACUCGCGGCUUAUCAGCUUGUUGGUGGGGUAGUGGCUUACCAAGGGUUUGACGGGUAGCCGGCCUGAGAGGGUGACCGGCGACAUUGGGACUGAGAGACGGCGCAGAAGCGUACGGGAGGCAGCAGGCGAGAAUAUGGCACAGCGGGCGGAAGCGUGAUACAGAGACGCCCCGUGCGGGAUGACGGCCUUCGGGUUGUAAACCGCUUUCGCCUGUGACGAAGCGUGAGUGACGGUAAUGGGUAAAGAAGCACCGGCUAACUACGUG
rnacentral:rRNA from 1 species